rnacentral:rRNA from 1 species
UGGGGAUUUUUCCGCAAUGGGCGAAAGCCUGACGGAGCAAUACCGCGUGAGGGAGGAAGGCUCUUGGGUUGUAAACCUCUUUUCUCAGGGAAGAAAAAAAUGACGGUACCUGAGGAAUAAGCAUCGGCUAACUCCGUGCCAGCAGCCGCGGUAAUACGGAGGAUGCAAGCGUUAUCCGGAGUGAUUGGGCGUAAAGCGUCCGCAGGUGGCUGUGUAAGUCUGCUGUUAAAGAGUCUGGCUCAACCAGAUAAAGGCAGUGGAAACUACACGGCUAGAGUGCGUUCGGGGCAGAGGGAAUUCCUGGUGUAGCGGUGAAAUGCGUAGAGAUCAGGAAGAACACCGGUGGCGAAAGCGCUCUGCUAGGCCGCAACUGACACUGAGGGACGAAAGCUAGGGGAGCGAAUGGGAUUAGAUACCCCAGUAGUC